rnacentral:rRNA from 2 species
CGUCGUAACGACUCUCGGCAACGGAUAUCUCGGCUCUCGCAUCGAUGAAGAACGUAGCGAAAUGCGAUACUUGGUGUGAAUUGCAGAAUCCCGUGAACCAUCGAGUCUUUGAACGCAAGUUGCGCCCGAAGCCGUCAGGCCGAGGGCACGUCUGCCUGGGCGUCACGC